rnacentral:rRNA from 1 species
AGUGAACGCUGGCGGUAGGCCUAACACAUGCAAGUCGAACGGCAGCACAGUAAGAGCUUGCUCUUACGGGUGGCGAGUGGCGGACGGGUGAGGAAUACAUCGGAUUCUACUUUUUCGGGGGGGAUAACGUAGGGAAACUUCCGCUAAUACCGCAUACGACCUACGGGUGAAAGCAGGGGAUCUUGGGACCUUGCGCGAUUGAAUGAGCCGAUGCCGCAUUAGCUAGUUGGCGGGGUAAAGGCCCACCAAGGCGACGAUCCGUAGCCGGCCUGAGAGGAUGAUCAGCCACACUGGAACUGAGACACGGUCCAGACUCCUACGGGAGGCAGCAGUGGGGAAUAUUGGGCAAUGGGCGCAAGCCUGAUCCAGCCAUACCGCGUGGGUGAAGAAGGCCUUCGGGUUGUAAAGCCCUUUUAUUGGGAAAGAAAAGCAGCGUGUUAAUACCCCGCUGUUCUGACGGUACCCAAAGAAAAAGCACCGGCUAACUUCGUG